rnacentral:lncRNA from 1 species
GGCAGGCGCCUGUAAUCCCAGCUACUCGGGAGGCUGAGGCAGGAGAAUCGCUUGAACCUGGGAGGCGGAGAUUGCAGUGAGCUGAGAUCCUGUCAUUGCAACUCCAGCAACAAGAGCAAAACUCCAAAAAAAAAAAAAGAGAAAAAAAAAUGACUACAACUGAAGGCCUCUUGUGAUUGUAAAGUAGAAGAAAUUAGAUCUCUGGAUACUGAACAGGAGAAAGGAGAUUAGACUUUGAAAUCAUAAAUUAGCAAAUUUCAAAAAGGGGCCUCCCUGUUUGCCCAGCAAAACAUUAAGGAUCUAUUAUUCUGUUGACAUGUUAACUUUCUCUAAUCUUUAUGCUGUCUUUUACAGAUGGGCUGAUUUCUUUGUCAUUCUAGAGCCUUAAAAUAUUCAUACAUUUUGAUCUAUUGAUAAAUUUCAUCACUGGAGAUUUAUCUUAUAGAAAUAAUUCCAAAGAAGGGAGAGCCUUCUAUCAUUCUACGGCUAGCAGUUCCCUGCUGUUCUGGGCUCUCUCUCCUUCCCUGGGCUGCUCCUACGUCACUAUACUACUACCUUUACCAUUCCAUCAUCAAGUGUAUACAUUACCCCACAGCACAAAAAGAACCGGCUAGAAAAGAACAGAACAGAAUUGCAAUGGCAGAAUUGACAACUGGCUUACCAUUUCAGCUGUUCAAGGCCUGACUGGUCUUCCUGCACUUCCUAGUAAGAUGACUCACGGUACCAUUACAGAAUUAUCUCACGCUAGGGUCAAACCUGAUUUCUACCACCGAGUGUGUGGUAGAGGCAUGUUUCUCAGAACCCAGAGCCAAGAUAAGGAACAGUCUCCAAUUCCCUGUUCUCUCCCCUCCCUCCUUCACCCUUCAUUCCAGGCAAGUCUCCUAGGCAAGUGUGUCCCAUCCUCAUCCUCUUUUUUUUUUUUUUUUUUUUUUGAGGCAGGGUUUCACUGUCUCUGUUGCCCAGACUGGAGUACAGUGGUGUGAUCAUGACACACUGCAGACUCGACCUCCUGGGCUCAGGUGAGCCUCCUGCCCCAGCCUCCUGAACAUCUGGGAUUGCCAGUGUAUGCCACCACUCCCUGCUAAUUAAAAAAAUUUUUUUGUUUUUUAGAGACAGGUUCUCACUAUGUUGCCCAGGCUGGUCUCAAACUCCUGGACUUAACCUAUCCUCCCGCCCUGGACUUCCAAAGUGCUGAGAGUACAGGUGUGAGCUGCCACACCUGACCUCUUGUUGGUUUAGUCUUUCCAAAGUUUUUUCCAUGUGAUUGACAGGGGCAAGGUCCAUGCUUAAGAGUGAACUGUCCCAGAUUUCCCAUGGCUGUCACAGUUUUAACACUCAAAGUCCCAUGUUCAGGGAAACUCCUCAGUCCUGGGCAAAACUAAGACUGGUUAUCCUACUUCAGGGAAGCACCAUCCUACCUCAGGGGAGUGGCUCCAUGAGGAGAGUCCUACCAGAAUUCAGUGAUCAACAGUAAACACCAUAAUGAGUUCUUGAGUCUUAACAUCAAUAUGAGGAACAUCAGGGGUACAGCCCAGGAUGAUCUUCACUUCUGCUGGCCUUGUUUCUUUUUUACAGUUUUUCCUCUAGUGUGAGGAGAUUCCCGCAAGGUUGAUGGUUUCAACUCCUGAUCUCUUGUGAUCCACUCUUCAGUCUAAAUAAACAUUUCCAUAAGAACAUGCAGUAGUUUGCUGUCAAACUGAAGCUUAAAUCCAUAUAUAUACAUACAUAUUUGAAAAGAACAGUUCUCUAAAGGAAAUUUAUCUGUAAAGGUGCAACUCUGCCCAUAGAAUAAGCCACCCUUUCCAUGGUCUCACAAAGCAGUCUAGACUCAGCGUUGCAAAUAUUUUCAUUUUCAGAUGAUGAUUUUAGAUAAAUCUUUGCCGAACUUUCAGGUGUUUUACUCAAAAGUCUCCAGCUUUUGAAAAAAGGAAAAUGUCUAGAGCAGUGAAAUUAGUUUUUUUUACUGCAAUCAAGGUUUCAAAACAAUGUAGUUGGCCGGGCGCAGUGGCUCAAGCCUGUAAUCCCAGGACUUCGGGAAGCCGAGGUGGGUGGAUCACGAGGUCAGGAGAUCGAGACCAUCCUGGCUAACACGGUGAAACCCCGUCUCUACUAAAAAUACAAAAAAAUUAGCCGGGCGUGGCCGGGCGCAGUGGCUCACCCCUGUAAUCCCAGCACUUUGGGAGGCCGAGGCGGGCGGAUCACAAGGUCAGAAGAUCGAGACCACGGUGAAACCCCAUCCCUACUAAAAAUACAAAAAAUUAACUGGGCGUGGUGGCGGACGCCUGUAGUCCCAGCUACUCGGGAGGCUGAGGCGGGAGAAUGGCGUGAACCCGGGAGGCGGAGCUUGCAGUGAGUCGAGAUCAUGCCACUGCACUCCAGCCUGGGUGACAGAGCGAGAAUCCUCAAAAAAAAAAAAAGCCGGGCGUGGUGGCGGGCGCAUGUAGUCCCAGCUACUCGGGAGGCUGAGGCGGGAGAAUGGCGUGAACACAGGAGCCAGAGGUUGCAGUGAGCCAAGAUCGCUCCACUGCACUCCAGCCUGGGCGACAGAGCGAGAGUCCGUCUCAAAAAACAAAGAAACAAAAACAAUGUAGUUAUCUGAGUAAAAUUUGAAUGAGGGCUAUAGCUAUGCUCCACAAGCCUCUCCAAGAAGGAGAGUUUUCUUUCUUUCUUUUUUUUUUUUUUUGUAGUCCCGAGUAGCUGGGACUACAGGCUCCUGCCACCACGCUUGGCUAAUUUUUUGUAUUUUUAGUAGAGACGGGGUUCACCGCAUUAGCCAGGAUGGUCUCAAUCUCCUGACCUCAUGAACCGCCCGCCUCGGCCUCCCAAAGUGCUGGGAUUACAGGCGUGAGCCACCGCGCCCGGCCUGGGCAGUAUUUUCAAAGACUUAGAGGAGAUUUUUGUAAAGUGCCAAUACAUUAUUUAAAAAAGGCUAAUACUGUAAGGAUGUGCUCUUUGAGUUUAAUUAAAGUCUUCAAAGGCUGGG